UUCUGUAGAUUCCGGCGACCAUGAACUAGAAGCCGUUGCAUCUCCGAUCAGAAACUAAAAUGAAGAUCAACAAAGCCUGCGAUCUCUCUUCCAUCUCCGUCUUUCCUCCUCCUCUUCUUCAUUCAAGGUCUCUCCUCUCGCACUGAUUCACACAUUUCAAUUACGAUUGUUUCUUUCAGUCCAUUGCUUCUGGUAGAACGCUCAUUUCAUCCGUUCGCUCGCU
rnacentral:lncRNA from 1 species